UCCCUGGUGGCUGAGAGGUUAAAGCGUCUGCCCGCAAUGCAGGAGACCUGGGUUCGAUCCCUGGGUCGGGAA
rfam:Ovis aries breed Texel chromosome 9, whole genome shotgun sequence.